CCACCGAAAGGUGGUCUAAUACCUUAUAGUAUCCAUCUCGUAUGGAUUAAAGCUUUAUGCGCUUUGGGAGGGGCCUGCGUUUGAUUAGCUAGUUGGUGAGGUAAAAGCUCACCAAGGCGACGAUCAAUAGCUGGUUUGAGAGGAUGACCAGCCACACUGGGACUGAGAUACGGCCCAGACUCCUACGGGAGGCAGCAGUAAGGAAUCUUCCACAAUGGGGCGACCCUGAUGGAGCAAUACCGCGUGCAGGAUGAAGCGUUUCGGCGUGUAAACUGCUUUUAUCACCGAAGAUUAUGACUGUAGGUGAAGAAUAAGGACCGGCUAACUACGUG
rnacentral:rRNA from 1 species